rnacentral:rRNA from 1 species
GACGAACGCUGGCGGNUUGCUUAACACAUGCAAGUCGAACGGUUGAAGCUUGUUAGUUUACUAACAAGUGGAGAUAGUGGCGAACGGGUGAGUAACGCGUGGGCAACCUGCCCUAGAGACUGGGAUAACAUCCCGAAAGGGAUGCUAAUACCGGAUAUGCUCUUAGUGUUGCAUGACACAGAGAGGAAAGAAAUUCGCUCUAGGAUGGGCCCGCGUCCCAUUAGCUAGUUGGUGAGGUAACGGCUCACCAAGGCCACGAUGGGUAGCCGGUCUGAGAGGAUGAACGGCCACACUGGAACUGAGACACGGUCCAGACUCCUACGGGAGGCAGCAGUGGGGAAUCUUCCGCAAUGGACGAAAGUCUGACGGAGCAACGCCGCGUGGGUGAUGAAGGUUUUCGGAUUGUAAAGCCCUGUCUGGAGGGAAGAAAUAUUGACGGUACCUCCGGAGGAAGCCCCGGCUAACUACGUG